UUCAGUAUGGCAGAGUAGUGCAAUGAACUUAAGAUUCAUACAUAAGUGUAAUCCAUUUUAUUGAAA
rnacentral:tRNA from 1 species